rnacentral:rRNA from 1 species
UACGCUGUUAUCCCUUAGGUAAUUUAGUCUUAUAAUCAACAAGAAUGGAUCAAAUUAUUAUAAAUAAAUAUAUAAAUAAAAAAAAAGAGUUUAUUAAUUCAUUUUCAUCACCCCAACAAAAUAAAUUCUAUAAUAAAUACUUUUAACAAACAAAACAAUUAUAGAAUUUAUUAAACUCUAUAGGGUCUUCUCGUCCCAUAAAAAAAUUUAAGCAUUUUAACUUAAAAUUUAAAUUCAAAAUAUAUUAUUAAGAAACAGUGUAUUCCUCGUCCAACCAUUCAUUCUAGUCCUCAAUUAAAAGACUAAUGAUUAUGCUACCUUUGCACGGUCAAAAUACCGCGGCCCUUUAAAAUUAAUCAGUGGGCAGGUUAUACUUCAAAAUAAAAACAAGAAGAGAUGUUUUUGAUAAACAGGCG